rnacentral:rRNA from 1 species
AUUGAACGCUGGCGGCAUGCCUUACACAUGCAAGUCGAACGGCAGCACGGGUGCUUGCACCUGGUGGCGAGUGGCGAACGGGUGAGUAAUACAUCGGAACGUGUCCUGUAGUGGGGGAUAGCCCGGCGAAAGCCGGAUUAAUACCGCAUACGAUCUACGGAUGAAAGCGGGGGACCUUCGGGCCUCGCGCUAUAGGGUUGGCCGAUGGCUGAUUAGCUAGUUGGUGGGGUAAAGGCCUACCAAGGCGACGAUCAGUAGCUGGUCUGAGAGGACGACCAGCCACACUGGGACUGAGACACGGCCCAGACUCCUACGGGAGGCAGCAGUGGGGAAUUUUGGACAAUGGGCGAAAGCCUGAUCCAGCAAUGCCGCGUGUGUGAAGAAGGCCUUCGGGUUGUAAAGCACUUUUGUCCGGAAGGAAAUCCUUGGUUCUAAUAUAGCCGGGGGAUGACGGUACCGGAAGAAUAAGCACCGGCUAACUACGUGCCAGCAGCCGCGGUAAUACGUAGGGUGCGAGCGUUAAUCGGAAUUACUGGGCGUAAAGCGUGCGCAGGCGGUUUGCUAAGACCGAUGUGAAAUCCCCGGGCUCAACCUGGGAACUGCAUUGGUGACUGGCAGGCUAGAGUAUGGCAGAGGGGGGUAGAAUUCCACGUGUAGCAGUGAAAUGCGUAGAGAUGUGGAGGAAUACCGAUGGCGAAGGCAGCC